GCAUCAUUCGUAUAGUGGUUAAUAUACUUGCCUUCCAAGCAAGUGCGCCGGGUUCGAUUCCCGGAUGAUGCA